GACGAACGCUGGCGGCGUGCUUAACACAUGCAAGUCGAACGGAAAGGCCCUGCUUGCAGGGUGCUCGAGUGGCGAACGGGUGAGUAACACGUGGGUGAUCUGCCCCUUACUUUGGGAUAAGCCUGGGAAACUGGGUCUAAUACUGGAUAGGACCAUGCUGUAGGUGGUGUGGUGGAAAGAUUAGUUUCGGUAAGGGAUGAGCUCGCGGCCUAUCAGCUUGUUGGUGGGGUAAUGGCCUACCAAGGCGUCGACGGGUAGCCGGCCUGAGAGGGUGGACGGCCACAUUGGGACUGAGAUACGGCCCAGACUCCUACGGGAGGCAGCAGUGGGGAAUAUUGCACAAUGGGCGCAAGCCUGAUGCAGCGACGCCGCGUGGGGGAUGACGGCCUUCGGGUUGUAAACUCCUUUCAGCCAUGACGAAGCCCUUGUGGGGACGGGAGUGGUAGAAGAAGCACCGGCGAACUACGU
rnacentral:rRNA from 1 species